CAAUAGCUACUUGCAUCAUUGUAAAUAUGAUGCAAGAUCGACUAUGUCGAAUAAAAUUCUAGGUAGAAUUAUGAUAAUGACAUUGUCUGCCUAUGUGUCUUGACCAAAUUACGUGCCAGCAGUCGCGGUAAUACGUAGAAGACUAGUGUUAUUCAUGUUUAAUCGGUUUAAAGGGUACCUAGACGGUAAAUCAAGCCUAAAAGGAAAUAAAUGAAGGGACUAAUUUACUAGAGUUACUUAUGAGGGGGUAUUAAAGUACUGCUGGUGUAGAGAUGAAAUUCUGUCAUACCUCUUUUCAAUAGAAAAUUAAUGGCACAGGUAUAGGCGAAAGCAUCCCCUUAUGUGAUAACUGACGUUGAGGGACGAAGGCUUUGUGUAGCGAACAGGAUUAGAUACCCCAGUAGUCAAAGCAGAAAAUGAUGAAUGUCAUAGAUUAGAUAUAUAAGUUUAUUCUAUAAAUGAAAGUGUAAGCAUUCCACCUCAAGAGUAAUUUGGCAACAUUGGAACUGAAAUCAUUAGACCGUUUCUGAAACCAGUAGUGAAGUAUGUUGUUUAAUUUGAUGAUCCGCAAAAAACCUUACCACAAUUUGAAUAUUUAUAUCUUUUAUUGUUUUUCUUUUUAACUUUUUCUAAUUUUCUACUUAAAAGAAAAAAAUAACAAGAAAAAAGAGACAAUAAGAUUA
rnacentral:rRNA from 1 species